GACGAACGCUGGCGGCGUGCUUAACACAUGCAAGUCGAACGGAAAGGCCCUGCUUUUGUGGGGUGCUCGAGUGGCGAACGGGUGAGUAACACGUGAGUAACCUGCCCUUGACUUUGGGAUAACUUCAGGAAACUGGGGCUAAUACCGGAUAGGAGCUCCUGCUGCAUGGUGGGGGUUGGAAAGUUUCGGCGGUUGGGGAUGGACUCGCGGCUUAUCAGCUUGUUGGUGGGGUAGUGGCUUACCAAGGCUUUGACGGGUAGCCGGCCUGAGAGGGUGACCGGCCACAUUGGGACUGCGAUACGGCCCAGAGUCCUACGGGAGGCAGCAGUGGGGAAUAUGGCACAAUGGGCGGAAGCCUGAUGCAGCAGCGCCGCGUGCGGGAUGACGGCCUUCGGGUUGUAAACCGCUUUCGCCUGUGACGAAGCGUGAGUGACGGUAAUGGGUAAAGAAGCACCGGCUAACUACGUG
rnacentral:rRNA from 1 species